GUGGGGAAUAUUGGACAAUGGGCGCAAGCCUGAUCCAGCAAUGCCGCGUGUGUGAAGAAGGUCUUCGGAUCGUAAAGCACUUUCGACGGGGACGAUGAUGACGGUACCCGUAGAAGAAGCCCCGGCUAACUUCGUGCCAGCAGCCGCGGUAAUACGAAGGGGGCUAGCGUUGCUCGGAAUUACUGGGCGUAAAGGGCGCGUAGGCGGCUUGGCCAGUCAGGCGUGAAAUUCCUGGGCUUAACCUGGGGACUGCGCUUGAUACUGCUGAGCUUGAGGCCGAGAGAGGGUGGUGGAAUUCCCAGUGUAGAGGUGAAAUUCGUAGAUAUUGGGAAGAACACCGGUGGCGAAGGCGACCACCUGGCUCGGUACUGACGCUGAGGCGCGACAGCGUGGGGAGCAAACAGGAUUAGAUACCCGAGUAGUCC
rnacentral:rRNA from 1 species